UGGGGAAUCUUGCGCAAUGGGCGAAAGCCUGACGCAGCAACGCCGCGUGUGGGAUGAAGGCCUUCGGGUCGUAAACCGCUGACAAGAGGGACGAAGCGAAAGUGACGGUACCUCUAGAGGAAGCCCCGGCUAACUACGUGCCAGCAGCCGCGGUAAUACGUAGGGGGCGAGCGUUGUCCGGAUUUAUUGGGCGUAUAGAGCGCGUAGGCGGCUUGGCAAGUCGGGUGUGAAAACCGGGGGCUCAACCCGCGGACUGCACUCGAAACUGCCAGGCUUGAGUCUGGUAGAGGAAAGUGGAAUUCCUAGUGUAGCGGUGAAAUGCGCAGAUAUUAGGAAGAACACCAGUGGCGAAGGCGGCUUUCUGGGCCAUGACUGACGCUGAGGCGCGAAAGCUAGGGGAGCGAACAGGAUUAGAUACCCUGGUAGUCCUAGCCGUAAACGAUGGGCACUAGGUGUAGGCGGUUAUCGACGCCGUCUGUGCCGUAGCUAACGCAUUAAGUGCCCCGCCUGGGGAGUACGGCCGCAAGGCUA
rnacentral:rRNA from 1 species